CUGUGCCUGGAACAUCUGCAAAAUGAGGGUUGACCUCCAAGGUCCCUUCCAGCUUUUAAGUCAGGAUCUUAUUAAUAUGAUCCCUUUUCCAAAUAACAUAUAAUAAUGCCCUCUUCGACUCCUUCGACUAUUAAUGCCCUCUUCUGGCUCCUUCUCCCACCUUUUCUUCUCCAGGAUGAAUCUGCCAGGUUCUUCAACAAGAUUCUCAUGUGGCUCCUUCUCCAGAAUACUUACCAUCUACUUGAACCGCCCUCUGAAUUCCUUUCAGCGUCUCAAGUCAACAAAACAUUUCAGAAAACUUUUAUUAAAUAUCUGCUCCAUGCCAGGGAUUGGAGAUUGAACGAUAAAGAGGGAAACAGUCCUUGCUCACAAAGUUUAAAUUGAAGGAGGAAACGACAUAAGUUUUGUUUGUGUUUUAAUAACAGAAUUGUUAUUUCAUCAACUACAUAUCCCAAGAAAAAUGGAAAAGGAAGCAGAGAAAGUGUUCUAGACAACCUGAGCUGAGAUUUAAAGGAAGAGAAGGAUUUUGAGAGGUCUGGUUCAAUGAAUGUCCUCUAGGCCUGGAAAAUGUUUGUGCAACAGGAAGCCUCUGUGCUAAAGGAAAAUUACAUCAGUCCCAAAGUGGAAGAUGCAUGAAGAGAGAUUUGAGGCACAGAGACCAAGUGGGAGGCUAUUGUAAAAUCUUGGAGGCCGGUGAUGAGAACCUGAAAUAAAAUGGUUGUUGCUUGAGUGG